UCUUUUAUUUUGAGUUUUAUCAACUGACAAAAUCUUGGAAAUUCAAAUGAAAAAUUCAUCAGCUAAAACCAGAUGGUCUUCCACUAAUGUCAAUGAUUCAGCGAAAGGAGGCGAGAGGGGCUCAGUCUGCAAAGAUGACACAUCUGUCAAACCCUUUCCCGGCUCGUAGAUAAAGCAUGUUCCAAAAGGCCUUCAAAUAUGAUGAGAAAACAUUGGAAAGGACUGAACCAAGACACCAAGAAAGUUGCCAAUUACAACAUUAAAACGUAGACAAGACUAGACCAACCGAAGGCCAAUAAGAACAGUGGAAUGUUCGCUAUUCACUCGUGAGCAGAGCCAACUGCUAACCUGAAACCAACUGGCUCAGUCUGCAUAUUAGAUUCCUUCUAUGCGGAUCAUUUGUGACCAACAAAAAAAAAAACUAUAAUGGUGGUCCCCCAACAUAAUCACUAUUUCAUUCAGGCGGAGUCCGCCUCAGCCUGCGGUUUCCUUGGCAGCAAAGCCUGUUUAUAUAUUUUCCUAUUCUAAUAAAUAAGUUUUGUUUAAAUGUA